GAUGAGCGCUGGCGGCGUGCCUAAUACAUGCAAGUCGAGCGGUAAGGCCCCGUCGGGGGUACACGAGCGGCGGACGGCUGAGUAACACGUAGGAACGUACCCCAAAGUGAGGGAUAACUGCUCGAAAGAGUAGCUAAUACCGCAUGUGAUCCACGGAUUAAAGCUUUAUGCGCUUUGGGAACGGCCUGCGUCCGAUUAGCUUGUUGGUGAGGUAAUAGCUCACCAAGGCGAUGAUCGGUAGCUGGUCUGAGAGGAUGAUCAGCCAGACUGGGACUGAGACACGGCCCAGACUCCUACGGGAGGCAGCAGUAGGGAAUUUUCCACAAUGGGCGAAAGCCUGAUGGAGCAACGCCGCGUGCAGGAUGAAUGCCUUAGGGUUGUAAACUGCUUUUAAUAGUGACGAUUAUGACGGUAACUAUUGAAUAAGGACCUGCUAACUACGUGCCAGCAGCCGCGGUAA
rnacentral:rRNA from 1 species